UCAUGGUUUUCUUUUUUACAUUAGAAGGAACACGAAUGGAUGAUCCUCAUAGCAACACAGCUGUAUAGAUCACAGCAGUGACUGAAAACAUCUGCAUAAUAUAAGUAAUGUAUGCAAGAUGCAAAAGCUGAAGUUUAAUGGAAAUAGUCUUCCAGAGGGAAAAAGAAAUGGCUGACUGAUGCUGGUGAUCUAUACAGAGCAAAGUGAAUUGUCAGAAACACUAUGUAAUCAAGUUGAAGUGACUACUAAUGAACACUAAAGGUGAGGAUAGUGGCUCAUUAUUGAACAGUAUAGAAGGAGAGAAGUGUGAAAGUUCUGUGAGGCAGGAAAAUGAUGAUUCAAGAUUACAAGGCAAAAGAAAAAGGAAAAGAAGCACCUGGAGAGUCUGGAGGGUGAGAGGCACAUGUAAGAGUCUCCUGGUUCACCAGAGAGACUCUUAAGAGUGCAGGGACAUGGAAGGUCUGUGUGUGAUGUAGAAUGUACUCCCCAUUCCAUGGCCUCCCAUCCACUCCACAAAAGCCACUCCCUACAGACAGCAGCAGCAGGUGUAAAAGGAUGCUCCCCACUCAUGCCUAUCCAUUCAUUACACAAUAGGCCACUCCCUAUAGACAGAAGCAGCAGGUGACAGUCCUUCUCCAAGGCAGAACACCACAUGCAUUCAUUUCUAUCCCUACCACUGAAGGAGCCUGCUAAUUUGCCAGGCUCAUCACAACCAAUGCACCACACUCCAGGGAAGAUUAUAUCCUGAUAAGUAUCUACUGGUGUACUGGUUGACAAAAAUGGCUGAAGACUCCUUUCUGAUGGUGAUAUUACACAAGGAUAUGAAGGCUUUUUUCAUGAUGAGUAAAAGCAUGCUGCUAUCAUCAUCUGCCUGGUCUCAAGCUCAAUCCACCAGCCUGCUUCUUGUAUCAUGUGUGACUCUAUACAAAGUUUGUAAAUAAAGACUUGAAAUUA